GGACUACUGGGGUAUCUAAUCCUGUUUGCUCCCCACGCUUUCGCACCUCAGCGUCAGUUUUGGGCCAGAAAGCCGCCUUCGCCACGAGUGUUCUUUCCGAUCUCUACGCAUUUCACCGCUACACCGGAAAUUCCACUUCCCUCUCCCAAACUCUAGCUAUACCGUUUCCAAUGCACAUCCCAGGUUAAGCCCAGGUCUUUCACAUCAGACUAAUAUAACCGCCUACGUGCCCUUUACGCCCAGUUACUCCGAUUAACGCUCGCACCCUCUGUAUUACCGCGGCUGCUGGCAC
rnacentral:rRNA from 1 species